rnacentral:tRNA from 1 species
GGGGGCGUAGCUCAGAUGGUAGAGCGCUCGCUUAGCAUGCGAGAGGUACGGGGAUAGAUAUCUCGCGCCUCCA